UGAGCAGAGGGCCAGGUGGCACCAG
rnacentral:miRNA from 1 species